GAAAACUCCGGUGGUAUGGGAUGGGCCCGCGUCUGAUUAGCUCGUUGGCGGGGUAACGGCCCACCAAGGCGACGAUCAGUAGCCGGCCUGAGAGGGCGGCCGGCCACAUUGGGACUGAGACACGGCCCAGACUCCUGCGGGAGGCAGCAGUGGGGAAUAUUGCACAAUGGGGGAAACCCUGAUGCAGCGACGCCGCGUGAGCGAUGAAGUAUCUCGGUAUGUAAAGCUCUAUCAGCAGGGAAGAAAGUGACAGUACCUGACUAAGAAGCCCCGGCUAACUACGUGCCAGCAGCCGCGGUAAUACGUAGGGGGCAAGCGUUAUCCGGAUUCACUGGGCGUAAAGGGAGCGCAGGCGGCACGGCAAGUCUGGUGUGAAAACCCGGGGCUCAACCCCGGGACUGCAUUGGAAACUGCCGGGCUGGAGUGUCGGAGGGGUAAGCGGAAUUCCUAGUGUAGCGGUGAAAUGCGUAGAUAUUAGGAGGAACACCAGUGGCGAAGGCGGCUUACUGGACGAUGACUGACGCUGAGGCUCGAAAGCGUGGGGAGCAAACAGGAUUAGAUACCCUGGUAGUCCACGCCGUAAACGAUG
rnacentral:rRNA from 1 species